UUCCUACGGGAGGCAGCAGUGGGGAAUCUUGGACAAUGGGCGCAAGCCUGAUCCAGCCAUGCCGCGUGAGUGAUGAAGGCCUUAGGGUCGUAAAGCUCUUUCGCCUGUGAUGAUAAUGACAGUAGCAGGUAAAGAAACCCCGGCUAACUCCGUGCCAGCAGCCGCGGUAAUACGGAGGGGGUUAGCGUUGUUCGGAAUUACUGGGCGUAAAGCGCGCGUAGGCGGACUAGUCAGUCAGAGGUGAAAUCCCAGGGCUCAACCCUGGAACUGCCUUUGAUACUGCUAGUCUUGAGUUCGAGAGAGGUAAGUGGAAUUCCGAGUGUAGAGGUGAAAUUCGUAGAUAUUCGGAGGAACACCAGUGGCGAAGGCGACUUACUGGCUCGAUACUGACGCUGAGGUGCGAAAGUGUGGGGAGCAAACAGGAUUAGAUACCCUGGUAGUCCACA
rnacentral:rRNA from 1 species